GGGUUGUGAGGUUAAGCGACUAAGCGUACACGGUGGAUGCCCUGGCAGUCAGAGGCGAUGAAGGGCGUGCUAAUCUGCGAUAAGCGCCGGUAAGGUGAUAUGAACCGUUAUAACCGGCGAUACCCGAAUGGGGAAACCCAGUGUGACUCGUCACACUAUCAUUAACUGAAUCCAUAGGUUAAUGAGGCGAACCGGGGGAACUGAAACAUCUAAGUACCCCGAGGAAAAGAAAUCAACCGAGAUUCCCCCAGUAGCGGCGAGCGAACGGGGAGGAGCCCAGAGCCUGAAUCAGCAUGUGUGUUAGUGGAAGCGUCUGGAAAGGCGCGCGAUACAGGGUGACAGCCCCGUACACAAAAGCGCAUGUGCUGUGAGCUCGAUGAGUAGGGCGGGACACGUGGUAUCCUGUCUGAAUAUGGGGGGACCAUCCUCCAAGGCUAAAUACUCCUGACUGACCGAUAGUGAACCAGUACCGUGAGGGAAAGGCGAAAAGAACCCCGGCGAGGGGAGUGAAAAAGAACCUGAAACCGUGUACGUACAAGCAGUGGGAGCCCCACCACUAAGCCAGUGGUGAACUCCACAUACGCAUCCUUUGCUGAAGGCAAUGGUUAACGGAGCGAAAGCGACGUUCAACCGCAAAACAAGCAGAGGGGGCUUAGUGGUGGGGUGACUGCGUACCUUUUGUAUAAUGGGUCAGCGACUUAUAUUCUGUAGCAAGGUUAACCGUAUAGGGGAGCCGGAGGGAAACCGAGUCUUAAUUGGGCGUUAAGUUGCAGGGUAUAGACCCGAAACCCGGUGAUCUAGCCAUGGGCAGGUUGAAGGUUGGGUAACACUAACUGGAGGACCGAACCGACUAAUGUUGAAAAAUUAGCGGAUGACCUGUGGCUGGGGGUGAAAGGCCAAUCAAACCGGGAGAUAGCUGGUUCUCCCCGAAAGCUAUUUAGGUAGCGCCUCGUGAAUUCAUCUCCGGGGGUAGAGCACUGUUUCGGCUAGGGGGCCAUCCCGGCUUACCAACCCGAUGCAAACUGCGAAUACCGGAGAAUGUUAUCACGGGAGACACACGGCGGGUGCUAACGUCCGUCGUGAAGAGGGAAACAACCCAGACCGCCAGCUAAGGUCCCAAAGUCAUGGUUAAGUGGGAAACGAUGUGGGAAGGCCCAGACAGCCAGGAUGUUGGCUUAGAAGCAGCCAUCAUUUAAAGAAAGCGUAAUAGCUCACUGGUCGAGUCGGCCUGCGCGGAAGAUGUAACGGGGCUAAACCAUGCACCGAAGCUGCGGCAGCGACGCUUAUGCGUUGUUGGGUAGGGGAGCGUUCUGUAAGCCUGCGAAGGUGGCCUGUGAGGGUUGCUGGAGGUAUCAGAAGUGCGAAUGCUGACAUAAGUAACGAUAAAGCGGGUGAAAAGCCCGCUCGCCGGAAGACCAAGGGUUCCUGUCCAACGUUAAUCGGGGCAGGGUGAGUCGACCCCUAAGGCGAGGCCGAAAGGCGUAGUCGAUGGGAAACAGGUUAAUAUUCCUGUACUUGGUGUUACUGCGAAGGGGGGACGGAGAAGGCUAUGUUGGCCGGGCGACGGUUGUCCCGGUUUAAGCGUGUAGGUGUGUGUUCCAGGUAAAUCCGGUUCACUUUAACACUGAGGCGUGAUGACGAGGCACUACGGUGCUGAAGCAACAAAUGCCCUGCUUCCAGGAAAAGCCUCUAAGCAUCAGGUAACAUCAAAUCGUACCCCAAACCGACACAGGUGGUCAGGUAGAGAAUACCAAGGCGCUUGAGAGAACUCGGGUGAAGGAACUAGGCAAAAUGGUGCCGUAACUUCGGGAGAAGGCACGCUGACACGUAGGUGAAGUGAUUUACUCAUGGAGCUGAAGUCAGUCGAAGAUACCAGCUGGCUGCAACUGUUUAUUAAAAACACAGCACUGUGCAAACACGAAAGUGGACGUAUACGGUGUGACGCCUGCCCGGUGCCGGAAGGUUAAUUGAUGGGGUCAGCGCAAGCGAAGCUCCUGAUCGAAGCCCCGGUAAACGGCGGCCGUAACUAUAACGGUCCUAAGGUAGCGAAAUUCCUUGUCGGGUAAGUUCCGACCUGCACGAAUGGCGUAAUGAUGGCCAGGCUGUCUCCACCCGAGACUCAGUGAAAUUGAACUCGCUGUGAAGAUGCAGUGUACCCGCGGCAAGACGGAAAGACCCCGUGAACCUUUACUAUAGCUUGACACUGAACAUUGAGCCUUGAUGUGUAGGAUAGGUGGGAGGCUUUGAAGCGUGGACGCCAGUCUGCGUGGAGCCGACCUUGAAAUACCACCCUUUAAUGUUUGAUGUUCUAACGUGGACCCGUAAUCCGGGUUGCGGACAGUGUCUGGUGGGUAGUUUGACUGGGGCGGUCUCCUCCUAAAGAGUAACGGAGGAGCACGAAGGUUGGCUAAUCCUGGUCGGACAUCAGGAGGUUAGUGCAAUGGCAUAAGCCAGCUUGACUGCGAGCGUGACGGCGCGAGCAGGUGCGAAAGCAGGUCAUAGUGAUCCGGUGGUUCUGAAUGGAAGGGCCAUCGCUCAACGGAUAAAAGGUACUCCGGGGACAACAGGCUGAUACCGCCCAAGAGUUCAUAUCGACGGCGGUGUUUGGCACCUCGAUGUCGGCUCAUCACAUCCUGGGGCUGAAGUAGGUCCCAAGGGUAUGGCUGUUCGCCAUUUAAAGUGGUACGCGAGCUGGGUUUAGAACGUCGUGAGACAGUUCGGUCCCUAUCUGCCGUGGGCGCUGGAGAACUGAGGGGGGCUGCUCCUAGUACGAGAGGACCGGAGUGGACGCAUCACUGGUGUUCGGGUUGUCAUGCCAAUGGCACUGCCCGGUAGCUAAAUGCGGAAGAGAUAAGUGCUGAAAGCAUCUAAGCACGAAACUUGCCCCGAGAUGAGUUCUCCCUGAGACUUAGAGUCUCCUGAAGGAACGUUGAAGACGACGACGUUGAUAGGCCGGGUGUGUAAGCGCAGCGAUGCGUUGAGCUAACCGGUACUAAUGAACCGUGAGGCUUAACCUUACAACGCCGAAG
rnacentral:rRNA from 1 species